AGGAUUAAUACCAAGUCGACAGGUUCUGAAAUGACUACAGUUUAAAAAAGCUUUUAAAUAUGUUCUUUAAAAUAUUUUUCUUGCUACAGUUACUUGUGCUGAUAAAUUCACAUAUCGUUGGUGAUAAAACGCAUCUGACAGAAUUAAAGAAAUUAUGUGAGCACGCCUACAUUUGCUUUCACGACAACGUAAUUAUAUGCGGUAAAUCUGUGAAUGAGGCGAGAACAUUUCUAGAUCUAUGCGACCUUUAUGAAUAUUCCUGCGAAUACAAUAUGGUUUUCAGGCACGUCAAAGAAGAGGAAGGUGUUUGUCCGAACCCAAGAGAAUUAAAUCCAGGUGUCGGUUAACUUUUAUGUAGGUUAUAAGAAAAAAAUCAAGUAUUGAAUCCGAAAAGUUUAUUUCAAAUAAUUUAUAUUUCUCAUGUCAAUGUUAAA